CCGGGCCGGAAGCGCGGAGAAGAGGCGCCCCCGGUGAAGAUAGCAGCCCGGAACCACUAUCCCACCGGACCACCUCCUCACCGGACAGCCCUGCAGGACCGGACCAGCGCCGAGCGGAGGUGUACUGGAGACACGCGGAACCUUAUAAUUACACCCCGCCUCCCACCGCAGGUAUGAGAAGUAAAUAGAAGCUCUAGAAUGAAGUGCCAGAGCUGGAUCUGUCUGGAGCCCGGGCUGGACUCCGGCUUAUAGGCCCAGUCAGGAAAGGCGAACCCUGGAAGAAGAAGAAAAUUUCAUUAAAAACCGAUUGGUCUGUAAUAGACUGGGACACACCAAAAGCAGCAGAAAGAAAAAUAUAAACCUUAUAAAAAGAGGGCACAAAUUAAGCCUAAACAGCCCGCAAUGCGGUAAAAUGCUGCCACCCAUUAACCACCACCUUAAAUCGGAUACACUGGGCCAUAAUAUUGCAGACUUGUCAUUUCUCAGGCACCUUAGAAGAACCAUCAAUGGUUUCAUUACCGAUUGCAGAUUUUGUCUACACCAGUGAAUCCGCGACAAAGUUAAACAAUAUACAACAGAAAUGUAAUUACUGGACAUUAUAAAAUGUCAAUU